UGUGGUAAGUUCCUGCUGGACUGAGCCAGAUGACACAGAGUCCGCUUAAACCAACUUGUGGCGGUCCUGACAUUCUACAGUCUCUGACACCUCCUGAGUGCCAAAGCCACAGAACACAACCAGGAAUCAAAGCCGAAGGACCCCGCGCCCGUGAUGACGGAACUCGUAACAACCACAGGACCUCAGACAACAGCCCUCCACCUGGCAAGGACCGGCCUGACGACUCAGGCCCCACCUCCGCUUCCAGUUUCCCUGCCGGAAGAGCCCCUUGCCCAUGAGCCGGGAACGGGAAGGCGCUUCGUGGUGGAGCGGACCCCAUCAGUGCUGCCCAUGUCCCCUCCACCCUUCUUCCACUCUGUGCCCACCCGCUCGCCUUCCAGGCGCUCCGACUCACAGAGUGCCGUGUCGGGAGUCUGCACUGCCCUCCCACGCGGCAGCCCUGGCAGCUGGGAGCUGGGAGGCCCUGGGCGCGGUAAUUGUGGGGC
rnacentral:lncRNA from 1 species